rnacentral:misc_RNA from 1 species
UUUCCGUAGGUGAACCUGCGGAAGGAUCAUUAACUACAAAUCUGUGGCCUCUUGGCCACAUUCGCCCCGUGCACCUGUGCACGUGACAUUUGUCCGUUUGUCAUGUUUUUGCAACGAAAGAGAAACUUUUAACAAUGGAUCUCUAGGCUCUU